AUUUAUAUAGUUUAAUUAAAACAUUACACUUUCACUGUAAAAAUAAAAAUUUAUUUUUUAUAAAUA
rnacentral:tRNA from 1 species